UCUUAUGGAUGAGCAAAGAAAAUAGUUCUUUGAAAUGGAAUUUACUUCUGGUGAAGAUGCUGUGAA
rnacentral:pre_miRNA from 1 species